UCUCUGGCUUCGGGGAGUACCUGACAAAGUGAGCGCUUUGUGCUUCCCUUUGCCAG
rnacentral:miRNA from 1 species